UGCUGCUCCGGGCACACGCCACAUCCCCGACUGACAGCGCCGUUCGCCUAUCACACGAGCGCCGCCCCUCAGACCAGCCAAUCCGUGCAGGUAGAGAGGGUGGGGGCGGGACUUCCGGCGCGGGUUGCCCGCCCACAGCCUCAGCCGGGCUGUCUUGUGAGGCGUUCAAUCAUCCUUCCUGUUUGAGAAGAUUGUUAUAAAAGAAGAGAAAAAAAACCUAAUCCACGGGACUCACUCGGGUCAAUUCACUCAACAGAAUCCGAACUGCUCCGAAAAUCCCGCACACGCAGUUGCCGGGUCACUUUUAAAGCUGCUCAAAGUUUCUCGCCCUCCCGUAAUGUUUACCAGCGCAGCAAUCCGGGCGGUGACAGCGCCGCUGACGUCACGCGGCGUGACCACCUCGCGCCACUCUUACGCGCCGUGACGUCAGGGCGAGCGACCGACCGAAGGAGGAGCCGCGGGGCUGACGUCACCGGCGGCGCGCGACGGCAGUCGCCGUUGGUCGCGAGGACGCGGCGCCAAAGUUCAAACUUUGGUUCAACAAACGGCCGCGAGGAGCCGCUGGUCGUGAGGCAAUCGCCAGCUACCGGCCUCGAGCUAUGCUGCUGCACCCGCUGAGUUUCUCCAGCUUUUCUGUGUAACCUUCGAUUCUCCAGCAUCUGCAGUUCCCUCUUAAAAACGAGAAAGUUGCAAAACUUACUUGAACAUGAAGCUUAGUGCACAGCGAUCUUCAGAAUGCAGCGGUCUUCAGAGUACGGGCUUUGUUAACUGUGUGGACGAUCUGUAUUCCACAUUCUCAUACCAUGCCUGACUUCACAGAUGAAAGCAUCACGGUGUACAGAGUAUCCUCUAAAAGCAAAAUAAAACAAAAACAAGCAAGCCAUAACUUCUGCAAAGGUCAAAACUUACUGAGCCUUUACUGCUCUUUCAGUCAUGUUUGAAAGAACUU